rnacentral:rRNA from 1 species
AACGAACGCUGGCGGCAGGCCUAACACAUGCAAGUCGAACGCUCCGCAAGGGGAGUGGCGCACGGGUGAGUAACACGUGGGAACCUACCUUCUGGUACGGAACAACCAAGGGAAACUUUGGCUAAGACCGUAUACGACCUCCGGGUGAAAGAUUGAUCGCCGGAAGAGGGGCCCGCGUCCGAUUAGGUAGUUGGUGAGGUAACGGCUCACCAAGCCUUCGAUCGGUAGCUGGUCUGAGAGGAUGACCAGCCACACUGGGACUGGGACACGGCCCAGACUCCUACGGGAGGCAGCAGUGGGGAAUAUUGGACAAUGGGCGCAAGCCUGAUCCAGCCAUGCCGCGUGAGUGAUGAAGGCC